GUCGCCGUUGGCUGUGACUCUUUCGGGCCUGGUGGAGGAGCCGAGCCUGGGGAUCGGUGACUGGACGGGAGGCUGGGAGGGGUUAACUGGAGGAAGCCUCCGCGGGGUGGCUGGUGACCCGAGACUUGGCGACGUGGCACUUUGAAUGAGUCCCGGGGAGGGGCUCACGGGGAAGCCGGCGUUGCUGGCAGAGAGGGGAGGAGGGUGAAGAGCGAGACACCGGGUCACAGGGCCUAGGUCAAAGUCUUCCUGAAUGUUGCUAAGAAGAGAAGGGAGAGGAUAGAGAAGAAUUUCCAAGCAUGGGGACCAGCAAAAGUGAAGGCUUGGGACAUGAGAGAACAUGGGUAGAUGAGGCGCUGGCAUCUGUACAUAGAUUCCCAAGGGGACUACUUCGAAGCUGACCGUACUGAUAUUCAGCAAUGAGCUUCCAUGUGGCAAGAAACCAAGGGUGGCCUCCUACUAGCAGCCAGUAAAUCACAAGACCCUCAGUCUGACAACCCAGGAAGAACUGAAUCCUGCCAACAACCACAUGAAUUUGGAAACAGAUCAUUUGCCCAAUCCUGGCCAACAUCUUCUGAGGGGUGCUAAAGCAGAGCAGCCACUUAAGCCAUGUCCAUAUUCCUGACUCACGGAGACAAUUAGAUGGUGAGAAAAGAUGCUGAAACUGAGAAGUGGCUUCCAAGGACUGACUGGAAAAGUGGCAUAGAGGAAACACUGAGAGUGCUAUUCCUAUCACAAAAACAUGUGACAUUCAUCUCAACGUGUAGUCUCCAGGACCUUCAGAGCAGAGAAGAAAAGAGCUGGAGUGUAGCACUCUCUCCUAAAUGCUUCUUCCUAGAAGUGGCACCUUUCUCCUUCCAGCCCACUGGCCAGAACCAAUCACGUGACCCUGCCUAAUUAUGGUCUUGCAGGCCAGCCACCUGGGCGCCUGCCAGCACUGAUGGCUAUUGGAAAUGGACCAAACUUCAUACAUCAGAGGAUCUAAGAAGCAGACUGCAUUCCAUUGUUCAAGUUUUUCUCUUUAAAUUCAUCUUCCCUUAUGGGCCAUAUGUUGUUUUGCCUGUCUGCAAGUAUUAUUCCUGUCUUUUCGUUCUUUGAAAGGCUCAGUAAUAUUUUGGGGGAAAUAGUGUGUUGGCUUAAAUAAGCUUUUUAUUAUGAAUAGAAGUAGAGAUAUAUUUUCCUUGGCCUGGCUUGGACACACUAUUGUUUUCCCAAUUAUUUUUGUUACGUAUUUUGGAAAUUUAAAAUUUUUUAAGUGACUGAAACUCAGAUGCCAGCUGUCCCAUGGACAACUUCUGUUCUCAUUUCAUGCAAACCUAGACACAGGACUCAGCACCAUUAUGCAGUCCCCAGAAAACCCACUUAUAGGACUGUGGUGAAUAUGGUGAAUUUGAAUCCUUGUUCUGGUCAUGGGACCUUUGAUACGUAAAUUAACCUCUCUAAGCCUCAGUUUCCUUAUUUCUAAAAUGGAGAGGCUGGGAAUAGUACCCACCUCACAAAGUUGCUGUCAGGAUCAAAUAAAAU